UCUCUGUCCACACAAACACCUG
rnacentral:miRNA from 1 species